GUUAAUGACCUGAAGGCAGUUGGGACCACAGUCACGAAGAGAACCAUCAGUAACACACUACACCGUGAAGGAUUAAAAUCCUGCUGCGCUCGCAAGGUUCCUCUGCUGAAGAAGGCACAUGUACAGGCCCGUCUGAAGUUUGCCAAAGAACACCUGGAUGAUCCAGAGGAGGCUUGAAGAAGUGUUUCAGCCCGUAUCUCUGCUUGCCUGAGGGACAUCCAGAGCUGGAUGGACAACCACCAUCUAAAGCUCAACCCAGAUGAUCCAAUCAGAGUCUGUGUGUCAUUCUAAGAGCUUCAAGCCCCUCCCCUUCAGGUGAAGACAGGAAGACGGAACCUGUGAUGGACCGCACAGACUACACAAGGCUGGAGCUGAGAUCCAGUUUGAUUAAAAGUGAAGACGCAGAGGAGAGCAUAGAGAGGAAGAAUGGAUGUGGACUGAGCAGGGAGGAAGAACUAAUUCUCUCCAACAUAAAGGAAGAGGAGGAAGAUGGUGUGACCGAUGAAGUGGUUGAAAGGAAUGACUGGGACGCAGAAACUGAGGGGGGUGAACAGGGGGAGGGAGAUGUAAACGACCAGGCCCUCCAGACUGACAGGAUAUCAUAUGUCAAGCAGGAAGAGGAAAGCAUGGUUACUUCCUUUGUAAUCGAAGAGUCUACAGUACCCUCCCUUGGAUCUCCUGCCAUCCCCUCCAGGGCUGGAAAAACAGGUGAAAUAAAUAUGCAUAUUGGUUUAUGUGUAAUAUUUUACUGUAUAGAAGAUGAGAAGACAUUUCUGUUAGUCCAACAAUUGCCUUGCUAUGGUUGUAGUUAUACGUCAUUGGUGAUAUUUCCAGAUGCAGUCAGUGUCAUGUUCUAUCAGAACUGUCAUUUAUUUAUGGUUGACGCCCCUCUAGUGGUCACAGGGGUCAUUGCGUCCUUUGUUUUGUUUUUCUUAAAUUUCAUUUCUCAUGAGAGCGCCCAUACAUGCGGUCACGUUUUAGCUGCACAGUUCUACCUUUCCACUUUGUACAAUCGUGUCUUGGAAAGUAUCGGUUGUAAGUACAUCAUUUGCAGCAGCGUAUUAAUGUGUUUUGUGCACUUUGUGUUCUUUAUGCAAGUGAACGCUGGCCUCCAUUAUGUUUGCCAAGCUAAUGCUAGUUUCCUAUUAGUCCCUGUUCAUUGAUAUGUGCCAUCUUCGCUGUUAUUUUUGGUUAAGGUUAGCUUCGUGAAAGCGCUAGCACCGUUUCAAUUAAUAUGCUCUGGAAAUAUCUCCGAGCAUCACUGAUGUGCAAUGUUACAGUAUAUAUAAACAAAUGAGCACAAGCUACUUACGAAUAUCUACAAGUUAUUUACAGCUAGUUGCAUAUCAUUUAAAAGUGAUAUACUGUGUAGUACUUCAUCGCUUUGUAGCUCAACUGUCAGGUUGUUGUUUUAUAUACAUGUGAUGUCAUAUAGCAUUGUGUAAUUGGUGCUAUCUUUUGUAUCAUUUCAGUUUUACAAAAAAAAACUUGGUUUUGAGAGAAAGGAGAAUAAAAGGCCCUUCAAACUUUACUCCACCUC